GUACAGUGUCUAUAUAUAUUGGAUUUGGGACGUUCCAGUUGGAUCCCAUUUAUUUCUUGGGGAACUCUGCCACUAUGAAUCUGAAUGAUUCUUCAAGCAAGAGAUGGUGCAAUGUUUCUUUGCCUCCCCUCAUUUCAGAGCCAGGUGUUGAAAUGAAAUGAAAAAUUGCUUCAUUCCAAAUUCAAAGAAUAUAUUUUUCUGAAAGUUGUGCCUGAGGCAGAAAAGUAGUGUAUCCAUUUCUGAGAAGGGAUAUUUUAAUCUCCUGAAUCAUGACUCUUUGGCCACAUUCUCUGUUUACUGUCUCAUUCGGCCUGUGACUUCAUAAAGAGAAAGGGUCACUUUCUCAGGAAGAUGUCCACAUUGUGGAAACUGAGGCCCACAAUGAUCACAGGAUCUACCCCAAGUCACCUGGUUUGUUGAUGGCAAACAGGUCUUAGACUCCUUGUCUUGACUCCAGCCCUGUGUGUGUUCUUUCUAACUUACAGUUCCAACCUCUGUUUUCAAGUAAAAACCUGCAAUACAGUGAGAAGUAA